rnacentral:rRNA from 1 species
AGUUUGAUUCUGGCUCAGGAUGAACGCUGGCGGCAUGCCUAAUACAUGCAAGUCGAACGGAGUGAAGCCUUCGGGUUUCAUUCAGUGGCGAACGGGUGAGUAAUACGCAGGGAACCUGGCCAUGGCAGGGGGAUACACUCUGGAAACGGAGCAUAAGACCCCAUAGGCAGUAAGGCGGCAUCGCCUUACUGUUAAAGAAAGCUGAAAGGCUUUGGCGAUGGAUGGACCUGCGGUGCAUUAGCUUGUUGGUGAGGCAACGGCUUACCAAGGCGAUGAUGCAUAGCCGGCCUGAGAGGGCGGACGGCCACACUGGGACUGAGACACGGCCCAGACUCCUGCGGGAGGCAGCAGUAGGGAAUUUUCGUCAAUGGGCGCAAGCCUGAACGAGCAAUGCCGCGUGAGUGAGGAAGGUCUUCGGACUGUAAAGCUCUGUUGCCGGGGAAAAAGGGGAAAUGCAGGAAAUGGCAUUUCAUGGAUGGUACCCGGCCAGAAAGCCACGGCUAACUACGUGCCAGCAGCCGCGGUAAUACGUAGGUGGCGAGCGUUAUCCGGAAUGAUUGGGCGUAAAGGGUGCGCAGGCGGUCUGUUAAGUCUGAAGGCAAAGGGAUGAGCUCAACUCAUUUAUGAUUCAGAAACUGGCAGACUUGAGGACAGGAGAGGGCGGUGGAACUCCAUGUGUAGCGGUAAAAUGCGCAGAGAUAUGGAAGAACACCAGUGGCGAAGGCGGCCGCCUGGCCUGUGACUGACGCUGAGGCACGAAAGCGUGGGGAGCAAAUAGGAUUAGAUACCCUAGUAGUCCACGCCGUAAACGAUGAGGAGCAGGUGUUGGGAGUGAAAUCUCAGUGCCGAAGCCAACGCAGUGACUCCUCCGCCUGGGGAGUAUGCACGCAAGUGUGAAACUCAAAGGAAUUGACGGGGGCCCGCACAAGCGGUGGAGUAUGUGGUUUAAUUCGAAGCAACGCGAAGAACCUUACCAGGUUUUGACAUCGGAUGCGAAGGUGCAGAGAUGCGCUGGAGGUUAACAUCCAGACAGGUGGUGCAUGGUUGUCGUCAGCUCGUGUCGUGAGAUGUUCAGUUAAGUCUGGCAACGAGCGCAACCCCCGUGGUAUGUUACUAACGCUUAGGGCGAGGACUCAUAUCAGACUGCCGGUGACAAACCGGAGGAAGGCGGGGAUGACGUCAAAUCAUCAUGCCCCUUAUGACCUGGGCUACACACGUACUACAAUGGCGUCUACAGAGGGAAGCGACCCUGAGAAGGGAAGCGAAACCGGAAAAGGGCGUCCCAGUUCGGAUUGAAGUCUGCAACCCGACUUCAUGAAGAUGGAAUCGCUAGUAAUCGCGGAUCAGCAUGCCGCGGUGAAUACGUUCCCGGGCCUUGUACACACCGCCCGUCAAACCAUGGAAGCCGGCAACGCCCGAAGCCGGUGGCAUAACCUUUUAGGAGUGAGCCGUCGAAGGCGGGGCCGAUGACUGGGGUUAAGUCGUAACAAGGUACCC